GCCGUCUUAGCUUAGAUGGCAGAGCAUUCGCUUAGUAAGCGAAAGGUCACGGGUUCGAUCCCCGUAGAUGGCU
rfam:Cryptosporidium muris RN66 scf_1106632373407 genomic scaffold, whole genome shotgun sequence.